UUGUAUAAAGGCAUAUAAAUGCCAAUCUCACUUUCUGACAUCUCAAUAUAUACACGCAGUGCGCCAGUGUCCAAAUACAUGAUUAUAACGUGCCAAUGUGAAAAAAAGAUAACAUAUUUCAAUACAUAUAUAAUGUGAACCAGUGAUGUGUGUGUAAAGGAAUUUUUCUUAUAAUGACGAAUAAAAGUGAAAAACUAAGACGUAAAGUGGUAUAAAUGUAUUUAACCACCUAUGGCUGUGCACAAGUAAAAAAGUGCAAGCCUAUGUAUAUACCCAGUGAUGAUGCAGCAUACAUUAAAGAAGUACCUCUAUAGUAAAAGAUGAAAUAAUAGAAUCAAAAGCCAUAAGACUAUAUAAGUGUAUAUAGUGAAACCAUUUAUUAAGACAAAGAAAUUUAAACGGGACGUUAAUGACUUCCAGUCUAAUAGAGUAUACAGGUGGCCUCUGGAGGUAGGGGACCAUCCCCCCCUAACUAGAACCCCCUCUGUGACCUCUAUAUUAUCUAUGGGAAGUAGCACACAGUCACAUCAGGAACAAGAGGGAUACCAUCUGAGAAGAGGCUAUACAAGAAGGAACGAGACAACUUGGAAUGGAAGCAGGAGACGUGGACAAUCGGUAAGUGAUUGUAAAUCAGGUAUUCAGUUUAUUAAUCUGUCUGAUAUUGCACUCACUAAAGAACAAAUUGAAGUGUUGAGUCUAGGCCUAACGUUCUCACCUACCUCAUCUUUUGAUGUCAUUACAGCGACAAAGGACUUGACUUUAUUUGCCAGGAAAUUGGUUUAAAAAAAAUAGUUUGACCACAGUGCACAACAGGUGAAGGGAUGGAGUACACAGGAUUUGGAAGCCAUUAGAACUCUAGAAGAAUUGGAAAGAGGGGACCCAGCAGAUACAGAAGAAGGGUGAGUUGGACGACUUAUUGAGAAAGCCCUUAGAGAAGAGCAUCCUCACACAAGGAACAUAUGGAUACUUGACUGUGAAGUACCCCAAAAUGACAUGCCUAUACUUGUUACCUACAGUACACAAGGACACCCGUAACCCACCAGGACAACCGAUUGUGUCAGGGAAGGAAAGCCUGUGCGAACCUCUAGGGCUCGGAGCAAGAUCUACUUGAAUUCAUGCAGAUACUUAACAACAAUAGCAAGAAUAUCCAACUGACGGUGAAAUACAGCCAACAAAGUGUGGAUUUUCUGGAUCUGAAGAUAUACAGAGAUGCUGAGGGGUAUGUACAGACUGAUUUGUUUCGAAAAGAGACAUCUGUAAACUCGGUCCUGCAUGCUAGCUCCUUUCACCCGUUGCCCACGAAAAGAGGGAUACCGGUGGGCCAGUUUUUGCGGGCACGCAGAGUGUGCUCGGAUGACAUUUAAUUUUCUAAACAGACCAAGGAUCUCAGCAAACGAUUUGAAGAGCGGGGCUAUAGCAAGCGCAUGCUAAGACGGGGACAGGAUCGAGCAAUACAUACAAAACGAGAAGAUCUAUUAAAACCAAAAGAAACCAAGAAAGAUGACUUCCAAGAGGUGAGAUUUAUCACCCCAUAUAAUAACAAGUGGCAGGAGAUAAGAGGGAUCUUGUCUAAAUUUUGGCCCAUUCUACAGGCUGAUACUACAUUGAAGAAACACAUUCCAGCAAGGCCUUCCAUCACAUAUAAAAGAGCCAAAAACUUGAGGGACAUUCUAGUCCACAGUAAUUACGAAGGAACCACAGUCAAAAAUGCAUUUGGAUCGAGGGGCCCGAAGUGGGGGUGUUACCCCUGUGGGGGAUGUGUAGCGUGCCCAAACAUGGAAAGAGCGACACAAUUUGUGUCCAGCAACAGUCAGAAGUAAUAUAGAAUAACAUAACAUAUUUCCUGUCACACAGAGGGAGUAAUCUACUACGCCACAUGCCCAUGUAAUUUAAUAUAUAUGGGCUUAACAUCACGCAAAUGGAAAAUCAGAGUACGGGAACAUGUACAUGAUAUUGAAAGGGUGAAGAAUGAGGAGAAUUUGUUACAACUUAAACCAAUACCCAGACAUUUCAGAGAGAAACACAAUUGCAAUUCCAGCCUAUUGAGAGUAAAGGGACUAGACAAAGUCCAUAUCGGCAAAAGAGGAGGAAAUUGGAGAAAAAGGCUUGCACAACUGGAAGUCCAAUGGAUUUUGAAAAUAGAUUGCAUUCGUCCAAAAGGCCUAAAUGAAGUUUUGAGCUUUGCCCCGUUCCUGUAAGUGUUACAUUCAAAGGGUCCUACCCUUUUUUCAUCUGUUCCCCCCCCCCCCCCCCCUUUUUUUUCCUAUUCAUUCUUUUUACCUCUCCACUUCUCCUCCCCACAUAUUUAUGUGAGCAAUGGCCACAGAGGGAGGAUAGAGUGUGGGGAAAGGACUAGGGGAUAGGGGACCCCUUGGGUGGUUCAUGUGGAACUCAUUGAUCCCGGUGUUUUAUGAUGUUUUAAUGAUUUUUAUGCUAUUCUUAUUGUCUUCUUUAAAGAUCCAAGUAUAGUGAUAUCCACCUCCUUUUAGCAGCCCGCAGCGCCUCGG